UACGUAGGGUGCAAGCGUUAAUCGGAAUUACUGGGCGUAAAGCGUGCGCAGGCGGUUUGGUAAGACAGAUGUGAAAUCCCCGGGCUCAACCUGGGAACUGCAUUUGUGACUGCAUCGCUGGAGUGCGGCAGAGGGGGAUGGAAUUCCGCGUGUAGCAGUGAAAUGCGUAGAUAUGCGGAGGAACACCGAUGGCGAAGGCAAUCCCCUGGGCCUGCACUGACGCUCAUGCACGAAAGCGUGGGGAGCAAACAGG
rnacentral:rRNA from 1 species